GAUGAACGCUGGCGGCGUGCCUAAUACAUGCAAGUCGAGCGAACAGACGAGGAGCUUGCUCCUCUGACGUUAGCGGCGGACGGGUGAGUAACACGUGGAUAACCUACCUAUAAGACUGGGAUAACUUCGGGAAACCGGAGCUAAUACCGGAUAAUAUAUUGAACCGCAUGGUUCAAUAGUGAAAGACGGUUUUGCUGUCACUUAUAGAUGGAUCCGCGCCGCAUUAGCUAGUUGGUAAGGUAACGGCUUACCAAGGCAACGAUGCGCAGCCGACCUGAGAGGGUGAUCGCCCACACUGGAACUGAGCCACGGUCCAGACUCCUACGGGAGGCAGCAGUAUGGAAUCUUCCGCAAUGGGCGAAAGCCUGACGGAGCAACGCCGCGUGAGUGAUGAAGGUCUUCGGAUCGUAAAACUCUGUUAUUAGGGAAGAACAAAUGUGUAAGUAACUAUGCACGUCUUGACGGUACCUAAUCAGAAAGCAACGGCUAACUACGUG
rnacentral:rRNA from 1 species